rnacentral:rRNA from 1 species
AUUGAACGCUGGCGGCAUGCCUAACACAUGCAAGUCGAACGGUAACAGGGAGCUUGCUCCGCUGACGAGUGGCGAACGGGUGAGUAAUGCAUCGGAACGUACCCAGUCGUGGGGGAUAACGUAGCGAAAGUUACGCUAAUACCGCAUACGUCCUGAGGGAGAAAGCGGGGGACCGUAAGGCCUCGCGCGAUUGGAGCGGCCGAUGUCGGAUUAGCUAGUUGGUGGGGUAAAGGCCUACCAAGGCGACGAUCCGUAGCGGGUCUGAGAGGAUGAUCCGCCACACUGGGACUGAGACACGGCCCAGACUCCUACGGGAGGCAGCAGUGGGGAAUUUUGGACAAUGGGCGCAAGCCUGAUCCAGCCAUGCCGCGUGAGUGAAGAAGGC